AGAGUUUGAUCAUGGCUCAGGAUGAACGCUAGCGGCAGGCCUAAUACAUGCAAGUCGAACGAGUCGCAAGACUAGUGGCGCACGGGUGCGUAACGCGUAUGCAACCUACCUUUCAGUGGGGCAUAACCUUGAGAAAUCAGGGCUAAUUCCGCAUAUACUCUUCUGGUGGCAUCACCUGGGAGAGGAAACAUUUAUGGUUGAAAGAUGGGCAUGCGUCUGAUUAGUUAGUUGGCAGUGUAACGGACUACCAAGACGAUGAUCAGUAGGGGUUCUGAGAGGAAGGUCCCCCACACUGGCACUGAGAUACGGGCCAGACUCCUACGGGAGGCAGCAGUAGGGAAUAUUGGGCAAUGGAAGCAAUUCUGACCCAGCCAUGCCGCGUGCAGGAAGAAGGUGCUCUGCACUGUAAACUGCUUUUGACAGGGAGCAAAAAGCUCAUGCGUGAGUAAUUGAGAGUACCUGUAGAAUAAGCACCGGCUAACUCCGUGCCAGCCGCCGCGGUAAUUC
rnacentral:rRNA from 1 species